GGCUCAGAAUGAACGUGGGCGGCGUGGAUUAGGCAUGCAAGUCGAACGGGUUCGGUCUUCGGAUCGGGCCAGUGGCGGAAGGGUGAGUAAGGCGACGGUAACCAACCCCAUGGUCGGGUAUAGCCGCGGGAAACUGCGGGUAAUCCCCAGCGACGUGCGGGGCCGGCAUCGGCCCCUCACCAAAGCCCAGGCGCCGUGGGACGGGCCGUCGUGGUAUUAGCUAGUUGGCGGGGUAACGGCCCACCAAGGCUGUGAUGCCUACCGGGCGUGCGAGCGUGGCCCGGCACACUGGGACUGAGACACUGCCCAGACUCCUACGGGAGGCUGCAGUCGAGAAUCUUCGGCAAUGGGCGCAAGCCUGACCGAGCGACGCCGCGUGGAGGAUGAAGGCCUUCGGGUUGUAAACUCCUGUCGAGGGGGAGGAAGGGGAGACCUUGACCGAUCCCUGGAGGAAGCACGGGCUAAGUUCGUGCCAGCAGCCGCGGUAAGACGAACCGUGCGAACGUUAUUCGGAAUCACUGGGCUUAAAGCGCGUGUAGGCGGGCGGGUACGUCGGCGACUGAAAGCCCCCGGCUCAACCGGGGAAGUGGUGCCGAAACGGCCGGCCUGGAGGGGCGUAGGGGGACCUGGAACUUCCGGUGGAGCGGUGAAAUGCGUUGAGAUCGGAAGGAACGCCCGUGGCGAAAGCGAGGUCCUGGACGCCAUCUGACGCUGAGACGCGAAAGCCAGGGGAGCGAACGGGAUUAGAUACCCCGGUAGUCCUGGCCGUAAACGAUGGGCACUGGGUAGGGGGCUCGCCGAUGGGCUCCCUGCCGCAGGGAAACCGUGAAGUGCCCCGCCUGGGGAGUAUGGUCGCAAGGCUGAAACUCAAAU
rnacentral:rRNA from 1 species